GAUGAACGCUGGCGGCGUGCUUAACACAUGCAAGUCGAACGGGAAACCUUUUAUUGAAGCUUCGGCAGAUUUAGCUGGUUUCUAGUGGCGGACGGGUGAGUAACGCGUGGGUAACCUGCCCUAUACAGGGGGAUAACAACCAGAAAUGGUUGCUAAUACCGCAUAAGCGCACAGGGCCGCAUGGUCCGGUGUGAAAAACUCCGGUGGUAUAGGAUGGACCCGCGUUGGAUUAGCCAGUUGGCAGGGUAACGGCCUACCAAAGCGACGAUCCAUAGCCGGCAUGAGAGAGUGAACGGCCACAUUGGGACUGAGACACAGCCCAGACUCCUACGGGAGGCAGCAGUGGGGAAUAUUGCACAAUGGGGGAAGCCCUGAUGCAGCGACGCCGCGUGAAGGAAGAAGUAUCUCGGUAUGUAAACUUCUAUCAGCAGGGAAGAUAGUGACGGUACCUGACUAAGAAGCCCCGGCUAACUACGUG
rnacentral:rRNA from 1 species